AUGAACUACUAUUGAUCAUUAAUCGGUAAUCAACAAUUUUAAAAAUAAAUCAAACAUUAAGAUUAAAAUUAACUUUUUCAAAAAAGUCAGUUUCAUAACUGCACCGUAGAAGCUCCCUACUUUUUAAUGUUUCAAUGUGUUGAAUACACAAAUUCCAAAACAAAAUUUCCAUUUUAAACUUCUUAUCAAGUGAGCACUUGUUAACAUUUCUAAAAAAAUACAGGUUUUAUAACCAAAAAUAAAAAUCACAGAUCUACCUCUCUACAUUUCCUCUUCAAGCUGUUCCAUAUCUCCAUCUUCUUCUCCCCUGUUUCCAUUUUCUGCUUUCUUCUUCUCCCUUAAAUCAUUCAUACAACCUAAAAUUGCUUCGUUUAUACCUUUUUUAUGUCACGAUUUGAAAUUUGAAAUCUGGAAAAGGGCAAACCGCAACAUCUUUUCAUGCUUCAUCUUUCCAUGUUAAAUGUAGCAUUCGUAGAAUCAGUUCAUUAUGUAUAAUUUCUAUCUAUUCUUGUACCAUUUAUAUAUAGCUAGAAAUUAUAUAAUGGAUAGAUACAGAAUAGAUAGAUUAGAUCAAUUGAAUUAUCAUGAAUAUACCCUAUUUAUACAUAUAUAUUUAUACAUAUAAAUCCAUAACUAAAUUUUAACUAACUAUUAACAAACUUACAUCUGCAAAUAUAUUAAUUCACUUGUUUUGAAGGCUAGCUAGCUAGGCUCAUAAACAUGUUGAAGUGAAACCUACUCCUUUUACAAGAAAAACGUGUGUUUUGAAUUUUGAUUUCUCUAUUAUACUUAAGCAUACAUGAAGAAAAAUCUUCCCUCCUUGUCGCACUAAAUAAUAAUAACAAUAAUAAUAAUAAUAAUAAUAAUAAUAAUAAUAAAUCUUCCUAAGUUUAACUUAAUUGAUGAGAAAAAUGCAUAAUAUAUGCAACGUCUAGAGUUCGGAAAAAAAAAAAAAAAAAAAAAAAAAAAAAAAAAAAAACUAAAUAAUAAGAACGUUUAUUCCCCCAAAUAUAUAAUGUAAAUAUUCCAUUGUUUAUGACUUUUAUUUAAUUUUGGAUUUAAAAUAUCUUAAAAUCCUAUAUAAUUAACUAUAAUAAAAUUGUAUCUAAUGGAGAAUGUAGGCCGCUCACGGCGGGGUGUGCAUGGGUUGGGUCAACCCAAAAAAAACCGGUCAAAUCCACCAAAAAAAACUAAAAAAAUGGGUUGGGUCGGGUAAUAGGGUGGGUAUGGUUUCAAAAAAUGAAAAAUCUAUAAAAAUAAAUGGGUUUCGGGUAAAACCAGACUCAUAUCCAAAAAAUUCACGUACUCAUUAUCCAAUCCAACCCAUAAAUUAGCAGGUUUGCCCAAUCCGAUCCAAUGGUAUAACAGGUGAUUAUUUUACCUCACUCAAACCGGAGUACCCUAUAUGGUUCGAGUUUUGGGUUUGGUCAAACACAACUCAAACCGAACCUACGUACACCCCUAGCUCACGCCUUCUCUAUUAGAUUCAAAAUUGUUUAUGACUUUUAUUUAAUUUUGGAUUUAAAAUAUUCUGUUGAUUUUCGAGUUCAAUUCUGGUUUAAGAUCACCAUUUUUAGUACUUUUCAAAUUUUUGUGAUAAACAAAUUAAAAUUGGUGAUGGUUCCUUUUUACAGACCAUCCAGUUGCGAUAUUAUGGUGUUUUUAUUUUGGUCAAGUAGCUUAGCGGCUAGAAAAAUUUACUUUAAAGAUGAAUAAGUGAGGUGUUCGGGGUUCAAACCCUGUUUCCUACAUAUAAUAUGCAUUUUUCCUCACCAGCUAAUGUAAACUUAUGGAAACUAUUAUGGUGCUUUUAACUUUAAAUGUGUUUUUACCUUUUCGAUGUGUUAUUUAUACAAAUGUUGUUUUAUCAUUAAUUAAUAUUGUUUCUGUUUUGAAAUUGUUUUUCGAUCUAUUACGAAAGGCUAAUAUAUAAAUAAAAAACACAU
rnacentral:lncRNA from 1 species